UUAUUAUAUGUAAAAUUUAUUUAUAAUUUUUAAAUGUAAUACUUUUGCUAUAUCUAUAUAUUUAUAUUGCGAAGUUUAAUCAAAUUGUAGUUACUUUUAUAUUUUUUGUUUUAGUCUUAUUCUGACGAUAGCUGAAUCAUCUGUUUUGAUAGUUGUUUAGACAUUCAUUUAGUUGCUCCUUUCUAAUUUUGUUGUUGACUUCACGUAAAAGGUCACAUAUAGUAAGUUUUGCUAUUAAUUUGACUGGAGAAACAUGGGCAUUAUUUUUCGUUUUGUCAGCUUGUUUAAGUUUUGCAUAAGAUGUUUUGGCAAACUUUUCGCCGCUCGACUAAGUUGUUAUGGAUGCAUAAAAAGUAUUAAUGCUGACUUCAUUAAAAGCAAUCCACAAAAGUGAAGAGGAUUAAAUAGUGUUAGAAACAAUUGUUUGUUUUGACUCAAUUUUGUUUGUGACAAAAAAGAUUUAAAUGAAAUUAAAUAUCUAAGGAAUUUUGUCUAAAAUUUCAUGGAUACCAAUCCUAUCAAAUGCCUUUUCGAAAUCUAAUGACAAGAUUGUGGCAUGGUUGCGUGCUGAUAGAGUUUUUUCAUAAAAAAAUCGAGGUUUUAGAGGGCGGCAGCAGCCUUUAUUUGCUUUGUACUGGACUUGCGGAGACCUUAUGAGGUGUUUGGAUUCCAUAAACCAAAGUAGUCUUUUAGCAAAUUUUUUUUCAAUAUUUAAAAGCCUAAAGAAGGGCUUAUUAUUUCGGAAGGUAAUUUGUAGGCCUUGUGCUAAAAUGCAUAGUCUAGAGUUUUCUUUGAUUUUGUUGCGAUAUUUUUGAGGGAAAAGAUGCGGGUUUUAUUAAAGAUGUGAUUUCAUUGAAUUUUUUAUUUAAAUUUUUACUUCCCUACUGAACUUGGCGUUUGAAUUCUUUAAAAAGUUCCAAAUUCAAUACAAUACGGUUUUUGGGCUUUCGGAGCAAUUUGAAAAAUUUUGUGAGAUGUGAUCUUGAAAAAAAAUCCAAUUUUAAGGCGUAGCUAUCAUUGAGAAAUAUGAGGUUAGAGCUCAUAUUUGUUAUUAAGGAGCCCACACACUCCAGGAAUUAACAUCAAAGAAUGUGUAAAUGGGUAAUUACUUGUUAAUGCGGUUGUGAAAGUAUUCAUAUACAUUUUUGGUAUAUUUGGCUCACAUUGAAAUGCACAAUAAGUUUUGUGGAGGGAUAUAAUAUUUGGGAGUU